GACGAACGCUGGCGGCGUGCCUAAUACAUGCAAGUCGAACGCAGUGGGGACGGGUGAGUAACACGUGGGUAACCUCCCAUCAGAGGGGAUAACACUUGGAAACAUGUGCUAUCCCUAUACUGAUGGAUGGACCCGCGGUGCAUUAGCUAGUUGGUGAGGUAACGGCUCACCAAGGCCAAGAUGCAUAGCGGACCGGAGAGGGUGAUCGGCCAAACGGGGACUGAGACACGGCCCAGACUCCUACGGGAGGCAGCAGUGGGGAAUCUUCGGCAAUGGACGAAAGCCUGACCGAGCAACGCGGCGUGAGUGAAGAAGGUUUUCGGAUCGUAAAACUCUGUUGUUAGAGAAGCGGUAUCUAACCAGAAAGCCACGGCUAACUACGUGCCAGCAGCCGCGGUAAUAC
rnacentral:rRNA from 1 species